rnacentral:rRNA from 1 species
UACAGAGGUGGCAAGCGUUGUUCGGAAUUAUUGGGCGUAAAGGGAGUGUAGGCGGCUUGUUAAGUCUUCUGUGAAAUCUACGGGCUUAGCCUGUAAAGUGCAGAGGAAACUGGCGAGCUUGAGUGUCGGAGAGGGUAGCGGAAUUCCCGGUGUAGAGGUGAAAUUCGUAGAGAUCGGGAGGAACACCAGUGGCGAAGGCGGCUACCUGGCUGACAACUGACGCUGAGACUCGAAAGCAUGGGGAGGCAAACAGGA